UACGAAGGGGGCUAGCGUUGCUCGGAAUUACUGGGCGUAAAGGGCGCGUAGGCGGUCGAGUGCGUCAGAGGUGAAAUCCCCGGGCUUAACCCGGGAGCUGCCUCUGAUACGGCAUGGCUUGAGUCCGGGAGAGGAGAGCAGAAUUCCCAGUGUAGCGGUGAAAUGCGUAGAUAUCAGGAGGAACACCGGUGGCGAAGGCGGCUCUCUGGACGGUGACUGACGCUGAGACGCGAAAGCGUGGGGAGCAAACAGG
rnacentral:rRNA from 1 species